rnacentral:miRNA from 1 species
ACACAACCUCCUAGAGUGUGUCG